UUAAGCGACUAAGCGUACACGGUGGAUGCCCUGGCAGUCAGAGGCGAUGAAGGACGUGCUAAUCUGCGAUAAGCGUCGGUAAGGUGAUAUGAACCGUUAUAACCGGCGAUUUCCGAAUGGGGAAACCCAGUGUGUUUCGACACACUAUCAUUAACUGAAUCCAUAGGUUAAUGAGGCGAACCGGGGGAACUGAAACAUCUAAGUACCCCGAGGAAAAGAAAUCAACCGAGAUUCCCCCAGUAGCGGCGAGCGAACGGGGAGCAGCCCAGAGCCUGAAUCAGUGUGUGUGUUAGUGGAAGCGUCUGGAAAGGCGCGCGAUACAGGGUGACAGCCCCGUACACAAAAAUGCACAUAUUGUGAGCUCGAUGAGUAGGGCGGGACACGUGGUAUCCUGUCUGAAUAUGGGGGGACCAUCCUCCAAGGCUAAAUACUCCUGACUGACCGAUAGUGAACCAGUACCGUGAGGGAAAGGCGAAAAGAACCCCGGCGAGGGGAGUGAAAAAGAACCUGAAACCGUGUACGUACAAGCAGUGGGAGCCUCUUUUAUGGGGUGACUGCGUACCUUUUGUAUAAUGGGUCAGCGACUUAUAUUCUGUAGCAAGGUUAACCGAAUAGGGGAGCCGAAGGGAAACCGAGUCUUAACUGGGCGUUAAGUUGCAGGGUAUAGACCCGAAACCCGGUGAUCUAGCCAUGGGCAGGUUGAAGGUUGGGUAACACUAACUGGAGGACCGAACCGACUAAUGUUGAAAAAUUAGCGGAUGACUUGUGGCUGGGGGUGAAAGGCCAAUCAAACCGGGAGAUAGCUGGUUCUCCCCGAAAGCUAUUUAGGUAGCGCCUCGUGAAUUCAUCUCCGGGGGUAGAGCACUGUUUCGGCAAGGGGGUCAUCCCGACUUACCAACCCGAUGCAAACUGCGAAUACCGGAGAAUGUUAUCACGGGAGACACACGGCGGGUGCUAACGUCCGUCGUGAAGAGGGAAACAACCCAGACCGCCAGCUAAGGUCCCAAAGUCAUGGUUAAGUGGGAAACGAUGUGGGAAGGCCCAGACAGCCAGGAUGUUGGCUUAGAAGCAGCCAUCAUUUAAAGAAAGCGUAAUAGCUCACUGGUCGAGUCGGCCUGCGCGGAAGAUGUAACGGGGCUAAACCAUGCACCGAAGCUGCGGCAGCGACACUGUGUGUUGUUGGGUAGGGGAGCGUUCUGUAAGCCUGUGAAGGUGUACUGUGAGGUAUGCUGGAGGUAUCAGAAGUGCGAAUGCUGACAUAAGUAACGAUAAAGCGGGUGAAAAGCCCGCUCGCCGGAAGACCAAGGGUUCCUGUCCAACGUUAAUCGGGGCAGGGUGAGUCGACCCCUAAGGCGAGGCCGAAAGGCGUAGUCGAUGGGAAACAGGUUAAUAUUCCUGUACUUGGUGUUACUGCGAAGGGGGGACGGAGAAGGCUAUGUUGGCCGGGCGACGGUUGUCCCGGUUUAAGCGUGUAGGCUGGUUUUCCAGGCAAAUCCGGAAAAUCAAGGCUGAGGCGUGAUGACGAGGCACUACGGUGCUGAAGCAACAAAUGCCCUGCUUCCAGGAAAAGCCUCUAAGCAUCAGGUAACAUCAAAUCGUACCCCAAACCGACACAGGUGGUCAGGUAGAGAAUACCAAGGCGCUUGAGAGAACUCGGGUGAAGGAACUAGGCAAAAUGGUGCCGUAACUUCGGGAGAAGGCACGCUGAUAUGUAGGUGAAGUCCCUCGCGGAUGGAGCUGAAAUCAGUCGAAGAUACCAGCUGGCUGCAACUGUUUAUUAAAAACACAGCACUGUGCAAACACGAAAGUGGACGUAUACGGUGUGACGCCUGCCCGGUGCCGGAAGGUUAAUUGAUGGGGUCAGCGCAAGCGAAGCUCUUGAUCGAAGCCCCGGUAAACGGCGGCCGUAACUAUAACGGUCCUAAGGUAGCGAAAUUCCUUGUCGGGUAAGUUCCGACCUGCACGAAUGGCGUAAUGAUGGCCAGGCUGUCUCCACCCGAGACUCAGUGAAAUUGAACUCGCUGUGAAGAUGCAGUGUACCCGCGGCAAGACGGAAAGACCCCGUGAACCUUUACUAUAGCUUGACACUGAACAUUGAGCCUUGAUGUGUAGGAUAGGUGGGAGGCUUUGAAGUGUGGACGCCAGUCUGCAUGGAGCCGACCUUGAAAUACCACCCUUUAAUGUUUGAUGUUCUAACGUGGACCCGUGAUCCGGGUUGCGGACAGUGUCUGGUGGGUAGUUUGACUGGGGCGGUCUCCUCCUAAAGAGUAACGGAGGAGCACGAAGGUUGGCUAAUCCUGGUCGGACAUCAGGAGGUUAGUGCAAUGGCAUAAGCCAGCUUGACUGCGAGCGUGACGGCGCGAGCAGGUGCGAAAGCAGGUCAUAGUGAUCCGGUGGUUCUGAAUGGAAGGGCCAUCGCUCAACGGAUAAAAGGUACUCCGGGGAUAACAGGCUGAUACCGCCCAAGAGUUCAUAUCGACGGCGGUGUUUGGCACCUCGAUGUCGGCUCAUCACAUCCUGGGGCUGAAGUAGGUCCCAAGGGUAUGGCUGUUCGCCAUUUAAAGUGGUACGCGAGCUGGGUUUAGAACGUCGUGAGACAGUUCGGUCCCUAUCUGCCGUGGGCGCUGGAGAAUUGAGGGGGGCUGCUCCUAGUACGAGAGGACCGGAGUGGACGCAUCACUGGUGUUCGGGUUGUCAUGCCAAUGGCACUGCCCGGUAGCUAAAUGCGGAAGAGAUAAGUGCUGAAAGCAUCUAAGCACGAAACUUGCCCCGAGAUGAGUUCUCCCUGACCCUUUAAGGGUCCUGAAGGAACGUUGAAGACGACGACGUUGAUAGGCCGGGUGUGUAAGCGCAGCGAUGCGUUGAGCUAACCGGUACUAAUGAACCGUGAGGCUUAACCU
rnacentral:rRNA from 1 species